GAUGAACGCUGGCGGCGUGCCUAAUACAUGCAAGUAGAACGCUGAAGGAAGGAGCUUGCUCUUUCCGGAUGAGUUGCGAACGGGUGAGUAACGCGUAGGUAACCUGCCUGGUAGCGGGGGAUAACUAUUGGAAACGAUAGCUAAUACCGCAUAACAGUAGAUGUUGCAUGAUAUCUACUUAAGGUGCAAUUGCACCACUACCAGAUGGACCUGCGUUGUAUUAGCUAGUUGGUGAGGUAACGGCUCACCAAGGCGACGAUACAUAGCCGACCUGAGAGGGUGAUCGGCCACACUGGGACUGAGACACGGCCCAGACUCCUACGGGAGGCAGCAGUAGGGAAUCUUCGGCAAUGGACGGAAGUCUGACCGAGCAACGCCGCGUGAGUGAAGAAGGUUUUCGGAUCGUAAAGCUCUGUUGUAAGAGAAGAACGAGUGUGAGAGUGGAAAGUUCACACUGUGACGGUAUCUUACCAGAAAGGGACGGCUAACUACGUG
rnacentral:rRNA from 1 species